CACUAACACUUCACCUUACGUAGAUGUCAAGUACAGUAGAGCCUGCCAAAUUUUUUAGCGACAUCGGAUCAUACAUUUUCCCUGUUAGCACACUUCUUUCU
rnacentral:lncRNA from 1 species